rnacentral:rRNA from 1 species
UACGAAGGGGGCUAGCGUUGUUCGGAAUCACUGGGCGUAAAGGGCGCGUAGGCGGCUUUGUAAGUCGGGGGUGAAAGCCUGUGGCUCAACCACAGGAUUGCCUUCGAUACUGCAUGGCUUGAGACCGGAAGAGGUAAGUGGAACUGCGAGUGUAGAGGUGAAAUUCGUAGAUAUUCGCAAGAACACCAGUGGCGAAGGCGGCUUACUGGUCCGGUUCUGACGCUGAGGCGCGAAAGCGUGGGGAGCAAACAGG